rnacentral:rRNA from 1 species
AUACGGAGGGUGCAAGCGUUAAUCGGAAUUACUGGGCGUAAAGCGUACGUAGGAGGUCCGUUAAGUUAGAUGUGAAAGCCCCGGGCUUAACCUGGGAACUGCAUUUAAAACUGGCGGACUAGAGUUGAGUAGAGGGGAGUGGAAUUUCAGGUGUAGCGGUGAAAUGCGUAGAGAUCUGAAGGAACACCAGUGGCGAAGGCGACUCCCUGGACUCGAACUGACGCUGAGGUACGAAAGCGUGGGUAGCAAACGGGAUUAGAUACCCCAGUAGUCC